UUAAACUUUUUUUUUUUUUUUUUUGCAGCCCAAUUAAGAGUUAGGUUUCUCAUCGUCUUCUCACCUUCUUCUUCUAUGCCGAUUUUCAGAAAGUGAAGCUUCCAUCGAUGAAUCGUUACGCCUCCACCUUCCACUAAAAUGCCCUUAAAUCCGAGCUUUAAGGCGAUUAUCCCACUACUCACAAUUUAAAGCAUUGAAUCGACCUCUUUGCAUUCUAAACUAAUUAACUAAAGCUGCAAGUAUAAAUAUCACACCUUGCACCGAUGAACAGCACAACUUCAACGAGAUCGAGAAGAACAGUUUGUUCGAAAUAUAGAUUCCGACAAUGGCCAAUUCCUUCACCCUCUUUGCGGAUCUGAAAGCCUGCCGCUGCUCCAACACUUCGGAGGUUCGUUUGCUGCAUUUUUCGGGAGGCGAGGAACGUUAGGAAAGUCGGUGAACUCAUGAGUCUUGACAUGGUACGAUGAGCAGUCAACUGUUAUUCAAGGUUCCGUAAGUGUGAACCGUGUAUCCAGAUUCAGUCAACAAACAACUUCCUGGUAUGUGUCUUUAGUUUGAGUAUUGUUUUUUGUUUUUUGUGAUAGCAUGUGUUAACUCAAUCCCAUUAAAUCAUUUCUCAUAUAUAAUUGGUGAGCUAAGUUCAAUCAGGAGCACAAUCACCGACAGUAUACAGGGGCCCAGUGUGUAAUGCUAACUCUGCGUCUAAAAAAGGAUGUAAAUGUUCCUGUUAGUAUGUUUGACUAUUUGGCUCUUGCAUUUCAUAAGAAAAUUGAUAGCUACGGGAAAGAGCCUAAAAUUGUGCUUGCCACCAACAUUAAUCCUAAGAUAGUUGGGGGCCGGUUAGUUCUGAAGGCCACUUCUGGCACACAUAUCUACUUUGAUUCUGAGACAGCUGCAGGAAAAGAAGAGUUUGAACCCAUUGCAGAUGACAGGCGAUGGAACAGACCAGACAGCGUCUUUAUUAAAGCUGGUUCAUGCCCAAAAAAUUGAACCUCCAACCGUUGCUGGGCUUAACCAAUAGAUAAUUGAGUUUCUUUGCAUAGCUAAAGUGACCGGAUGUUCAAAGAAACUUGUCCGAGAGAUAUAUUCCUUCAAAUGUGUCGCAUGUGAUGAAACUAAUGUUGUGGCUGCACUCAAGUAAGAAAAUAGGUGUUGAUGCUCAGGUUGACACUGAACUGCCUCGAUCCCUUGCUGAGAUUGUUGGGAAUACAUACACCUUCCAGCUCAAGUUAAAGGACUUCAAUUUACUUCAAAGCACCAAACCUUCACCAUUUCUGGCGUUUUUCCUUCGAGAGAGCUUGCACCUGUGCCAUCCUUUGUUGUGAAUAAAGGUGUGCAGGUCCCUGAAGCAUCGCAGCCUGAAGUUGUGGCAACGGGAUCUGAUGUCAAAGUUGAUAACACUUGCUCUGUUACAGAGGCGCCAUCUACAUCUGAUGGUUCACUUGCCGGACGUACAGAAUCAGCCAGUGAGCAAGUUGCUUUGGAAGAGAAUGCACCGAAGAAACCACGUUUGGAAUGAGUCUACUAUGAGAAACAACCACGUCUUCUCUUUAUCAAAUAAUUGCUUUUGUAUCUUUCAAUUUCCUUGGAAUCAAUUUCCCUUUUUAUAAUAUUCAAUGUGGUGGUUGUUUAAAUUAGUAAUAAGUCAUCUUUUCAAUUUUCUUUAG